rnacentral:rRNA from 1 species
CGAGCGAACUGAUUAGAAGCUUGCUUCUAUGACGUUAGCGGCGGACGGGUGAGUAACACGUGGGCAACCUGCCUGUAAGACUGGGAUAACUUCGGGAAACCGAAGCUAAUACCGGAUAGGAUCUUCUCCUUCAUGGGAGAUGAUUGAAAGAUGGUUUCGGCUAUCACUUACAGAUGGGCCCGCGGUGCAUUAGCUAGUUGGUGAGGUAACGGCUCACCAAGGCAACGAUGCAUAGCCGACCUGAGAGGGUGAUCGGCCACACUGGGACUGAGACACGGCCCAGACUCCUACGGGAGGCAGCAGUAGGGAAUCUUCCGCAAUGGACGAAAGUCUGACGGAGCAACGCCGCGUGAGUGAUGAAGGCUUUCGGGUCGUAAAACUCUGUUGUUAGGGAAGAACAAGUACGAGAGUAACUGCUCGUACCUUGACGGUACCUAACCAGAAAGCCACGGCUAACUACGUGCCAGCAGCCGCGGUAAUACGUAGGUGGCAAGCGUUAUCCGGAAUUAUUGGGCGUAAAGCGCGCGCAGGCGGUUUCUUAAGUCUGAUGUGAAAGCCCACGGCUCAACCGUGGAGGGUCAUUGGAAACUGGGGAACUUGAGUGCAGAAGAGAAAAGCGGAAUUCCACGUGUAGCGGUGAAAUGCGUAGAGAUGUGGAGGAACACCAGUGGCGAA